AUAACGAUUCUGCAACCUGGAGGACCAGUCCAUCCUAAGGGAAGUCAGUGUCCUGUCCUUCCACACCUCGCAGUGUUUGCUGACCAAGCAGUGAUCCUACUCAAGGUUCCAGGCUGAAGAUAGACAUGGGGAACAAGUAAAAGAAACAAGUACAAUGUGCGAUUCAUAUACUUUUGGCUUCAGAAAAGCAGCAGUUUGCCCAAAGGAAGCAGGGUCUUCAGCUCCACAAUCCUCUCAACUAGUGCAGUGCUGUUAGUGUCAAGCCAAAUUUACAAGCCAGGAGAGUUUGACAUCAGCGGGAGUUGUCUCACAAAGAAGCGUACAACGUGACUCCAGAAGAGGUACAUGAACAAUUUGAGCUCUUUGCUAAAUAAACAAAAUGUUGGUGUUUGUGGUGAGUUAAACAUCUGCAUUUCACUUCAAGUAUUAAACAACCUUUGAAAACACAA